rnacentral:rRNA from 1 species
AGUGAACGCUGGCGGUAUGCCUAAUACAUGCAAGUCGAACGGCAGGACAGUAAGAUCUUGCUCUUACGGUUGGCGAGGGGCGGAUGGGUGAGGAAUACAUCGGCAUCUACUUUUUCUUGGGGGACAACGUAGAGCAGCUUACACUAAUACCGCAUAUGUCCUACGGGAGAAAUCAGUAGAGCAUGGCAGCUUUCCCGACUGUAUUAGCCGAAGUCGGAUUAGCUAGUUGGCGAGGUAACGGCCUACCAAGGCGACGAUGCGUAGCUGAUCUGAGAGGAUGAUCAGCCACACUGGAACUGAGACACGGUCCAGACUCCUACGGGAGGCAGCAGUAGGGAAUCUUGGACAAUGGGCGAAAGCCUGAUCCAGCCAUACCGCGUGAGUGAAGAAGGCCUUCGGGUUGUAAAGCCCUUUUAUUAGGGAAGAAAAGCAGCAGGUUUAACUACGGAUGUUCUGACGGUACCCAAAGAAAAAGCACCGGCUAACUUCGUG